rnacentral:lncRNA from 1 species
CAGAGAGAAGGUGCAGUCCUCAGCUCAAAGGCUGCCUGUUAACCAGGUGGGAGAGCAUCAUGAGACAUUUAGUCUUACCUCACAUAAGAAUUUUAAAUUUCCAAGGUAGUGCAGAGCUCUUAGGACUUUGUCAUUUAAACCCUGACUGUGUGGGGCGAGAGCACAAAUGUCUGUUCUGCCAUCAGCCCCACAGCUGUUCCUCCCACUCAGGUGUUUUCAUCUCUCUAAAAUUGACUCCUGGCAGCCAAUUAAUUACCUGCUGGGACGACACCAUUCUUUCCACUCACAAAGGGAGCAGUUGCAGUUGGAGAAGGAGCUGGGGAAUGGCUGGGAAUGUCAGAAAAAGAAAGAAAGUGAAUAUAUUUUACAACGGAUAUUACUGGUGAUGAAGCUGACUCAUUAAGGAUGUAUUAAGAAGCCCUGUGUCAGGCCAGCAGUCUCUCUCUAGGAGUGGCAAAUAGAUGCUGCCACAGCUUGUGCACCUGGCCCCUAACUGCAAAUCGUUCCCAUUUGUGCUGCUGAAUCCCUUGGAUUACAAUGAAACUAUUUGUUCUAUUUUUUGUCUUUGUAACAUUUUCCCAGUUUAACUUUCGCAAAAGACUUCAUUUGCUAUUUUUCCUAAGCUGAACCAAAGGUAAAUCUGUUUGUUAUGGCAGAAAUUUGAUCUACUGUAUGUUUUAUGUGUUUAAGAAAUUUCCUGCUGAACUACAUCUUUCUGUGUGUAGCCUGAUUUCUAUUGUGGGUUUAGAGGGCUGCAAAUAGUAGUUUUACAUGGAAAACAUACUUCAUUGCCAACACACACAUGUUUUUUGAAUCACUUGAAAGUUUUAUGUAAAACUGCAUGUUUUACUUGUCAAGCUGCAGAUAUUUUCAUAUCUACUUGUGUUAAUCAAAUGUCAAUUUAAAUGAGGAAUGAUAGUCAAGCUGGUUGUGAAUCACCCCUAAGCUCUAAAGCUAGUCAUUCUUGCCAGGGUUUAGCCAUAAAAGUUUUCAGGGCCAAAUUGAUUACCAGCUUUAUAUGCUCAACCCAGUUCAGUUAUAGGCAGAAAUUUGUUAGUUUUGUCUGAGUUUAUGAGUUCUUGAUUAAUUUUUAAAAUCUGUAACUGAAUCAGUCAAUGUUAUUGCUAAGAAAAAUCUGGAGCUGAAGGAAUUGUCCAUAAUUAAUGUUUAUGGACACUCAGCUUGUUCCAUUUCUUACUUUUUGCUCCAUGAACUUAUUUUAUCUCUCUUAUAGUUUGUUUCUUUUGUAUUCUGUUUCCUAAUCACUUUAAUAUUCCCACCCUUCUAUUUUUCACUUUAUUUUUAUCUGUAUUUGGUUACUUAUCCUCUUUUCUGUGUUAGUGCAGAACCGAGCAUCCAUAGAAGAGUUGCAUUUCUUUACCAUUU